rnacentral:lncRNA from 1 species
UGAUUUCUGAAAAGAUAGAACAUAAAUACUUUUCUGAGUAUUUUAUUCCUUUAAUCACGUAACAUCAACACUACUAUAUUUCCGGAAAAAUCUCCACACCUUCCAUCUUUACAGAAACUGCACUUAUAAAUAUUGCAGUCUACGCAUAACUCCACCACACCUUCAAUCUUUACAGAAACUGCACUGCAAUUAUGGAACUCAGCUUUGUCAAUCAAGUUCAUCCGUACAGAACUUCCUGGCGUCUACAAGUUAAGGUCCUUCAUACUUGGAAGCAGUUCACACCUCUCUCAGGAGAAACCUUGGAAAUCGUUUUCUCUGAUGCAUAUGUACGUCUCUAAACUUUCUUAUGAUUCUUUCUGUUAUUUUGUUCUCACUAUUCGUAACUACAUCUAAAUGGCAAACACCUUUCUAAAUCAUGUUCUCUUAUUUAUUGUUGCGGAAACAAAUGAUUCCUAAAUACAUCUAUAUUUUAAAUUUUUAUCUAAUCCGUUUAUUCUUAUUAUAUUGAAGGGUAACAAGAUUCAUGCAUCAUGUAAGAAGACAUACUUUGAUCGUUUGGAGAAUAAAGUACCUGUUGGUGCUUGGAGAAACAUUGACAAUUUCUUGGUGACUAAUAAUGGCGGUAGUUACAAGACUACAAAUCACCAUUACAAGAUUGUCUUCAUUCCCACCACUGACAUCACUCCUUCAACACUGCAAGAGGAAAACAUGUUCCUUAGUUUGGUUGACUUUGAAAGCAUUCAAAGUGGAAAACUUGAUACAACCAACUUAAUUGGUUAGUUUAAUACAUUCAUACAAAUUUUUACUUCUAUAUUUUUCUAAAGUGUUUUACGAAUCUUACAUAUGAUGUGUACAAUAUCAGAUGUUAUUGGACAAGUGUUUGAGUUGGGAGAUCUGGAAACUGUGCAGUGUCACGGUAAAGAAAGAAAGAAA